rnacentral:rRNA from 1 species
AGCAGCCGCGGUAAUUCCAGCUCCAAUAGCGUAUAUUAAAGUUGUUGCAGUUAAAAGCUCGUAGUUGAAUUUUGGAUUCUACCAAUUGGUCCAUCUUUUAGAUGAGUACUGGUUGUGUGGGGUCUAUCCGCCUGGUGAUACGUAAUGUCCUUUAUUGGAUGUUGCGGGUAGUCAGGACCUUUACCUUGAAAAAAUUAGAGUGUUUAAAGCAGGCUUAUGCCGGAAUACAUUAGCAUGGAAUAAUAGAAUAGGACGAAGUUGUUUUAUUUUGUUGGUUUCUAGGACAACCGUAAUGAUUAAUAGGGAUAGUUGGGGGCAUUAGUAUUCAAUUGUCAGAGGUGAAAUUCUUGGAUUUAUUGAAGACUAACUACUGCGAAAGCAUUUGCCAAGGAUGUUUUCAUUAAUCAAGAACGGAAGUUAGGGGAUCGAAGACGAUCAGAUACCGUCGUAGUCUUAACCAUAAACUAUGCCGACUAGGGAUCGGGCGAUGUUGUUUCCAUGACUCGCUCGGCACCUUAUG